UGCAGGAAGUGACCACCUGCACUGCGGAGACUGGCCCCAGAGGAAGACCCGCCACCUGCCCCCAGGCCCCAGCCUCCAGCCCCUCCACAGACCACGCGAACCAAGGGCUCCAUCCUCAGGUCUGGGACUGAGCCCGACACGGUGGGGGAGAGUUUCUGAGUUUUCCAGCAGCAUAACAGCCCCCAGGAGGGCCGACCUGCCUUCUUUCUAAUAGACGAGAAGCUGUUCUUCUCCUGGAAGAUCAUAAAGUCAUGAGACCAAUAGCACCUGGACAGUUACAUCAGCAUCGCUGUGGUUUUCCUCCAAGAACGGAUAUGAAGCUCAGAAGAGGAACUAAAGCUAAGAAAAACCGACCAGGCAGACAGCGGGAGUCAUGGAAUUCGAGAUGGAUGUUAAUAAAACCACGCUCGGGACCAAAGUCACAUUAAAUAAGUCCAGAGGCCAGACGCUCCACGCGUAAAUAUGCCACAUUCAGUUGAUCAUUAGGAAAGUGCUAAAAAUAUUAUCUCUCCACCUUAAAGAAAUAAUGGGAAGACAUAAAACUCACUUGAACCUUUGAGCCCCAGCCAAGAGCUGACACCAAAUGCCAAGUUAAGGGCAGGCCGAUGUGUUUUUCUAGCUUGUAAAACUUCCGACAAGCA
rnacentral:lncRNA from 1 species